CUACGGGACGCUCCAGUGGGGAAUCUUAGACAAUGGGCGCAAGCCUGAUCUAGCCAUGCCGCGUGAGUGACGAAGGCCUUAGGGUCGUAAAGCUCUUUCGCUGGGGAAGAUAAUGACGGUACCCAGUAAAGAAACCCCGGCUAACUCCGUGCCAGCAGCCGCGGUAAUACGGAGGGGGUUAGCGUUGUUCGGAAUUACUGGGCGUAAAGCGCGCGUAGGCGGAUCAGAAAGUUGGGGGUGAAAUCCCGGGGCUCAACUCCGGAACUGCCUUCAAAACUCCUGGUCUUGAGUUCGAGAGAGGUGAGUGGAAUUCCGAGUGUAGAGGUGAAAUUCGUAGAUAUUCGGAGGAACACCAGUGGCGAAGGCGGCUCACUGGCUCGAUACUGACGCUGAGGUGCGAAAGCGUGGGGAGCAAACAGGAUUAGAUACCCCCGUAGUC
rnacentral:rRNA from 1 species